UACGUAGGGUGCGAGCGUUAAUCGGAAUUACUGGGCGUAAAGCGUGUGCAGGCGGUGAUGUAGGACAGAUGUGAAAUCCCCGGGCUCAACCUGGGAACUGCAUUUGUGACUGCAUCGCUGGAGUGCGGCAGAGGGGGAUGGAAUUCCGCGUGUAGCAGUGAAAUGCGUAGAUAUGCGGAGGAACACCGAUGGCGAAGGCAAUCCCCUGGGCCUGCACUGACGCUCAUGUACGAAAGCGUGGGGAGCAAACAGG
rnacentral:rRNA from 1 species